rnacentral:rRNA from 1 species
GACGAACGCUGGCGGCGUGCUUAACACAUGCAAGUCGAACGGAAAGGCCCUGCUUUUGUGGGGUGCUCGAGUGGCGAACGGGUGAGUAACACGUGAGUAACCUGCCCUUGACUUUGGUAUAACUUCAGGAAACUGGGGCUAAUACCGGAUAGGAGCUCCUGCUGCAUGGUGGGGGUUGGAAAGUUUCGGCGGUUGGGGAUGGACUCGCGGCUUAUCAGCUUGUUGGUGGGGUAGUGGCUUACCAAGGCUUUGACGGGUAGCCGGCCUGAGAGGGUGACCGGCCACAUUGGGACUGAGAUACGGCCCAGACUCCUACGGGAGGCAGCAGGGGGGAAUAUUGCACAAUGGGCGGAAGCCUGAGGCAGCAACGCCGCGUGCGGGAUGACGGCCUUCGGGUUGUAAACCGCUUUCGCAUGUGACGAAGCGUGAGUGACGGUAAUGGGUAAAGAAGCACCGGCUAACUACGUG